AGUGAACGCUGGCGGUAGGCCUAACACAUGCAAGUCGAACGGCAGCACAGUAAGAGCUUGCUCUUACGGGUGGCGAGUGGCGGACGGGUGAGGAAUACAUCGGAAUCUACUUUUUCGUGGGGGAUAACGCAGGGAAACUUACGCUAAUACCGCAUACGACCUACGGGUGAAAGCAGGGGAUCUUCGGACCUUGCGCGAUUGAAUGAGCCGAUGUCGGAUUAGCUAGUUGGCGGGGUAAAGGCCCACCAAGGCGACGAUCCGUAGCUGGUCUGAGAGGAUGAUCAGCCACACUGGAACUGAGACACGGUCCAGACUCCUACGGGAGGCAGCAGUGGGGAAUAUUGGACAAUGGGCGCAAGCCUGAUCCAGCCAUACCGCGUGGGUGAAGAAGGCCUUCGGGUUGUAAAGCCCUUUUGUUGGGAAAGAAAAGCAGCAGGUUAAUACCCCGCUGUUCUGACGGUGCCCAAAGAAUAAGCACCGGCUAACUUCGUG
rnacentral:rRNA from 1 species